GACAGAGGGGGCAAGCGUUGCUCGGAAUUACUGGGCGUAAAGGGCGCGUAGGCGGUCAGCACAAGUCAGUUGUGAAAUCUCCGGGCUUAACUCGGAAAGGUCAACUGAUACUGUGCGACUAGAGUGCGGAAGGGGCAACUGGAAUUCUCGGUGUAGCGGUGAAAUGCGUAGAUAUCGAGAGGAACACCUGCGGCGAAGGCGGGUUGCUGGGCCGACACUGACGCUGAUGCGCGAAAGCCAGGGGAGCGAACGGG
rnacentral:rRNA from 1 species